rnacentral:rRNA from 1 species
ACACAUGCAAGUCGAGGGGAAACGACAUCGAAAGCUUGCUUUUGAUGGGCGUCGACCGGCGCACGGGUGAGUAACGCGUAUCCAACCUGCCCACCACUUGGGGAUAACCUUGCGAAAGUAAGACUAAUACCCAAUGACGUCUCUAGAAGACAUCUGAAAGAGAUUAAAGAUUUAUCGGUGAUGGAUGGGGAUGCGUCUGAUUAGCUUGUUGGCGGGGUAACGGCCCACCAAGGCGACGAUCAGUAGGGGUUCUGAGAGGAAGGUCCCCCACAUUGGAACUGAGACACGGUCCAAACUCCUACGGGAGGCAGCAGUGAGGAAUAUUGGUCAAUGGACGAGAGUCUGAACCAGCCAAGUAGCGUGCAGGAAGACGGCCCUAUGGGUUGUAAACUGCUUUUAUAAGGGAAUAAAGUGAGAGUCGUGACUCUUUUUGCAUGUACCUUAUGAAUAAGGACCGGCUAAUUCCGUGCCAGCAGCCGCGGUAAUACGGAAGGUCCGGGCGUUAUCCGGAUUUAUUGGGUUUAAAGGGAGCGUAGGCCGGAGAUUAAGCGUGUUGUGAAAUGUAGAUGCUCAACAUCUGAACUGCAGCGCGAACUGGUUUCCUUGAGUACGCACAAAGUGGGCGGAAUUCGUGGUGUAGCGGUGAAAUGCUUAGAUAUCACGAAGAACUCCGACUGCGAAGGCAGCUCACUGGAGCGCAACUGACGCUGAAGCUCGAAAGUGCGGGUAUCGAACAGGAUUAGAUACCCUGGUAGUCCGCACGGUAAACGAUGGAUGCCCGCUGUUGGUCUGAAUAGGUCAGCGGCCAAGCGAAAGCAUUAAGCAUCCCACCUGGGGAGUACGCCGGCA